UUGUUGCCAAUGAUGGUUUAUAAAUAUACUUUGAGUUUACACAAUGAAAAGAAUUUUAUCUGAGGCAACUU
rfam:Helianthus annuus linkage group 2, whole genome shotgun sequence.